UCUGAACCGCCUUCAUAUCGCCGGAACUCUCUCCUCUGGUCACCAUUGCUUGCUGCCCUCAUUUGAAAGCCCUUAAGUCAUCAGUCAUUUUCACACCAAAACCGCAGCCAUUGGAUGCCGAAAACGCCAAGAACGGCGUCGGAGAGCGGCUGCCUUCUUCGCCAUUUUUUGCCGCUCCUCGCCGCCCACAGCUGUUGGCGCCAUUACCGCUGCAUUCACCGGCACCUCCCUUGCCUCCAGCCAUUGCCACCAUGCUCGGACGAUCCUCCUUCAUCAUCUGCCAUUGAAGCCGACGAAGCUUCUCCUUCU
rnacentral:lncRNA from 1 species